CCGAGUCAUCCCAUACGCCGCCGCCGCGUAAAGCCCUAUCCCUAACCCGCUCUCGUCUCCCUCCCUAGGACGCAGUCGCCCUGGCCAUGCCGCCGCCGCCGCCCACCCGUACGUCGCCAGCAACGGCCUCGCCAUCAUCCUCAUGUGCGCCCGACGUUUCCGUCUCCUCGCUGGCCCUAGGCUCAUCGAGCUUCCUCUCCAUGCGUUGCUGCCUCCUCUGCGCCGCCACCCCAUGGUCUCCACCAGCGUCCCUGCGGAGUACAUGGGAGCCGCCGCUGCCGCCGGGGACAAGGAUACACAUGGAAACCGCCACAGCCUUAGGCACGCCUGCGGGCUAGCCUAUGCCUACUAUAUCCGGUGUUCUGGUGCAUCCGGUGCGACCUCAAAGAAUACAUUCUUCUAGCUGAGCUUUGAGCUCCUCAGGGACGAUGCCUGGGGUGGAAGCAGUUCAACUGCACGAUGAAGAAGUGAGUUAAGGGGUUAAGACGGUUGCGUUGGGCGUGCCCUGCUUGCUUGCUGUGCCUAGCAUCACCGGCAACAAGUUCAACGCUGUCCGACAAGGUGCCCUGCAGGGACAACCUCGGUCGACCUGUCAUCGAACUUCACUGCUUGAGGCAGGAGCAGUGACUAGCAUUGACCAGGAGGAGCAAGAAGCAGCGACAGCUACCAUUGCUGGCUGAGCUAGCUGCUAGGUUGCCUCUCUCUUUCCCUCAUAUUCAUAUAUGUGGGUUUGCAACAGCCAAAAGUACGCUCGUGAUUCUUUGUUUUUACUAACAAUCCAUAUUUGGAUGCCUUCUUUCUCCCCAGUUACUUGCGACGGGUUGUGGGCAACUACAAGUUAGAAGAAUCAGUACUGAAAACGUCUUCUGAAUGUUAAUAAAAUGCUUUUCCUGUUGUGCAUUUGUAUGCUUCAGUUCUCUUUUUCGUGCCGGGUAUGCUUCAGUUAUACUAAAACAUCCAUCUUAUUUGUGUGCAAAUAUUUGUUAUCAUUCAAGUUAGCUGUAUAUAUAUAGUACUAAGUUCAACAUGCACACAAAGAUGAUCCGGUUGAGGUUUACUGGCAUAAUGUGUAUCAUUGCUCUAUGCAUGCUGAAAAGGUUAUGCAUAUAGACUAAAUUAUACUACCACCGUCCUAAAAAUCUUGUCUUGGAUUUAUCUAGAUAUAGAUGAAUCUAACACUAAAACGUGUCUAGAUAUAUCCGUUUCUACACAAAUCUAAGACAAGCUUUUUGGGACAGAGGGGGUAGCUGCUUGAGAUUAUUCACAGAAAAUGGCAUUCUUAGAAUGUCUCGGUCAGUGCCAUUCUUGCAAUCAUAUAAAAAUUCGUAAAUUACUAUGUUUGACCAGAAUUGGUUACUUGAUAUGUGGGUUGAGAAGAAGGAAAGGAAAAAAUGUCCUAUAAUGAUAUUAUUUUUUGACAAUGUUGCUUGAUGUGCACGGGAUCCUAAAAGUCUUUUGCCCCUCCAAGCAUUCGUGGGAAGCUCCGCCACUCAUUGACUUGGGAUAUCAUAUUCAUUGAGAAUAGGUGGACAAUGUGACGAUCAUCGACGAUUUUUGUCUCCCGUAGCAACGCAUGAUGUAGGCGGUGACUUGGGCAACGGGGCGGCAAGGCGGAAUGCAUCAGCACUCCUCAAUUGUGGGUAGCGUUGGUGGCGGUGACUUGGGCUGGGAAGCAAUGAGUAUCAGCACUUGCAAUUGCAGGUGGCAGUGGCUGGGGGUUAGGAAGAGAAAGGUGGGCGUUUUUGCAGGGUGGACAAAAAAAGGCAGUGGCGGGAGGAAAAAGAACAACAAUAACAUCGGGUCAUUGCCGACGGAGGAAAGGCAGGGGUUAACAUAUUCAAGUGUGGCUAGGCAGAAAGUCGCGAGCGCCUGAGUUGGUGGCGGGUUUAGAGGAUCAAGGGUGCCGACCAAGACAACCUUAAUAUUUUUUAUUUACUAGUAAGAUGCCCGUGCAUUGCACGGAACAUCAAGAUGUAUUUUUUUACAAAACAAUUGUUGUGAUUGACCCAUGUGGGAGUAAUUCCAUGUGUAAAAACUAA